AUUGAACGCUGGCGGCAGGCCUAACACAUGCAAGUCGGACGGUAGCACAGAGAGCUUGCUCUCGGGUGACGAGUGGCGGACGGGUGAGUAACGUCUGGGAAACUGCCCGAUGGAGGGGGAUAACUACUGGAAACGGUAGCUAAUACCGCAUAACGUCGCAAGACCAAAGUGGGGGACCUUCGGGCCUCACACCAUCGGAUGUGCCCAGAUGGGAUUAGCUAGUAGGUGGGGUAAUGGCUCACCUAGGCGACGAUCCCUAGCUGGUCUGAGAGGAUGACCAGCCACACGGGAACUGAGACACGGUCCAGACACCUACGGGAGGCAGCAGUGGGGAAUAUUGCACAAUGGGCGCAAGCCUGAUGCAGCCAUGCCGCGUGUAUGAAGAAGGCCUUCGGGUUGUAAAGUACUUUCAGCGGGGAGGAAGGCGGUGAAGUUAAUAGCUUCACCGAUUGACGUUACCCGCAGAAGAAGCACCGGCUAACUCCGUGCCAGCAGCCGCCGUAA
rnacentral:rRNA from 1 species